UGCGGUGGGGCCUGUGUUGGUACGGGCGGGCGGCUGUUAACUGUCACGACGCAGGUUCGAUUCCUGCCACCGCAGC
rnacentral:tRNA from 1 species